rnacentral:rRNA from 1 species
CAAAAACAUGUCCUUUUGUUUUUUAUUUAAGGUCUGACCUGCCCAAUGAGGAAUUCAAUGGCCGCAGUAUUUUAACUGUGCUAAGGUAGCAUAAUCAUUUGUCUUUUAAUUGAGGGCUGGAAUGAAAGGUUGGACGAGACAUUAACUUUCUUUGGCUUAAUCUUAGGAAUUUAAUUUUUUAGUUAAAAAGCUUAAAUUUAUUUGUUGGACGAGAAGACCCUAUAGAUCUUUAUGAUUUUAUAUUUUGGCAAUUUGGGGAUUAGGCUUGUUUAGGAGUAAAAAAAUCAUUUUGUUGGGGUGACUGUAGAAUUAAAAUAACUUCUAUUUUUAUAUUUCAUUUAUUAAUGUUUUUUUGAUCCAUAUAAUUAUGAUUAUAAGAUUAAGUUACCUUAGGGAUAACAGCGUAAUUUCCUCGGAGAGUUCAUAUUGAUGAGGGAGUUUGCGACCUCGAUGUUGGAUUAAAGUAAGUUAUGGAUGCAGAAGUCUAUAUACUAGGUCUGUUCGACCUUUAAAUUUUUACAUGAUCUGAGUUCAAAC